GCCUUCGUGGUGUAACGGUAGCACACUCGGCGCGUAGUCGAGAAGUCCAGGUUCGAGUCCCAGCGAGGGCA
rnacentral:tRNA from 1 species